GUUGUUAACGACCCAUCUACAUGCCUAUGCUGACGACUGAUACUAGCGGCAGAGCUAUUCCCCUACAUCCUGAAAUCCAUAUAGAGCUUUAUACCACAUACGAAAUAAUAGAACCCGAAUGUGUUGAUUGCUACAACUACAUAGUUAUUAUUCCAGAAGGAGAUAAGUAUCUAAACUAUUUUAAAUUAUGCCUGUUAAUUAUUUCAUUUUUGUUAAUUAUUGCAUUUUUGAUUAUUUUAUUAAUUAAUUUUUAUAUUUAAUUUGCAUGUAAACUUUGAAGAUAUCUUCCUUUUAAAUCAUCUGCAAAGGCAAUUGCUGAAGUCAUAUAAGAGAAAUAUAAAAAAUAAAAAAAAUCAUGGUUGUCUUGGGGUGAGAUAAAAGAGGAUAAGACACCACAAUUUAGUGAAGUUGAUCAAUUUUUGCAUUGUUUUAAAGUAAGUGAUUAAAUUAAUUUACUUAAUUACUAAUUAUACAUUUGCAUGUUUAAUUGAAUUUUAUUUUUAAUUUUUUUUUUUGAUUUAAACAAACAACAAACAAAAUGUACUUGGAAAAGAGAGCAUAAUAUUGAAACUUUGCCUUUUUUUGACCAUCUUUUCCCCAAGCGUCUAUCAUCUAUCUUGGCCUAAAUUCUAUUUCGCGGCAUUCGAUCCAUGACAUGUCAACAUAUGGUGUUGGAGUUUUUUUUGAAUAUAUUAUAAUAGAUUGUACCAAUGUAAUUUGUAGAACAGAAGUAAUAUAUUUGAUAAUUGAAAUUGAGUUACAAAAAUUACUACUUUAUUGCUGAAACUAAAAACUAUUAAAGUGAAAUAUUUGAAAAUACAUUCAUGUAGUAUUAACGAUUUUAAUUUUUUCCACUUUUUUUGGUUUUGUUUUGUUUGACCAAUUUCAUUACACUUCCCAAUUGUAUUGUUGGCCUUGUUGAGUUAAUUUUGUGAGACAAUUUUCACAUCCAAUGUAAUUCCAUCCAAAUUUGUAAUCAAUGUCAUUGAUAGUUGCACAGAUUGUGAAUACCCUUUUCCUGUAUUUUUAAAAAAUUAUAUAUAAAUUGUUAAUAUUAUAUAAAUUAUAUGAAAAUGCAAUAGAAAUAUAAAUUUUUAUGUAAAUUGUUGAUAUUAUAUAAAUUAUAUGAAAAUCCAAUAGAAAUGUAAAUUUUUAUGUAUAUAAUCUCUCAAUUUGGUCUAAAAAGUAUAUUUGAUUAAAAUAACGUGAUUGCAUGUAUAUAUGUGGUGCUAGGUAAUUAAAUGCACCUGAACAUUAGAUUCUCAUUUCAUGGUCAUUAUAUGUUUUAAUGUUGUUCGAUUCCUGACCAUUCUUUUCUCUGGUGCAUUGUGGGAAAAAUCUUGAGGUGGUAUAUCUCUAACUUCAUCUUCUUGACUUUGACUGAAAUCACACCAAACAAAAUAUGUUUUUCAAAUUGUUUUUGUAAUUUUUUUUAUUGAUGUUAAUGUGGUCUUAUAGAAUGAUAUUGAAAAUAGAGAAUAAGAGAAAAGAAAGAAGACAUAAAGAUAUAAAUGGUAGACCUUUGUGAAAGUAUAUUGAAUUCUGGUAUUUCUAAGUUAAUAUAAACCCUUGUUGUUGAAGUUGAGUUGAUUGAGUAGUCAUCUGUAAUUAUAAUAAAGAAGUGAAUGUGCACUAAUAAUUACGGUAUAAAAAAAAAGGAAAUUUAUUAGAAUUUUGUUGUAAAAAAUGAAAUUAAUAUUAAUAUUGAGACCUCUGAAUUUUUUAACUGUUGUUGAUGUUACCGCAAAAGUCUUAGGACCAUCAUAUAGCUUGUGAUGGACAAAUAAUUUUUAAAAGCUUGUGAUGGACAAAUAAUUUUAAAAAAUCAGCAACUAUAUUCCUCCAUAAAGUGACUUUCAUAAUUUCACCCCUAAAAAUUAAAGCAAAAAAUAAAUAAAGAAUGUGUUAAAUGUUAUUUAGCAAUGAAAUUAUAAUAAUGUUAGUAGGUUUUGAAAUUAAAUUGUUUUGUAUUUUAUAUUAAAAAUUAUUACACAUGCAUUUUGAUUUCUAGUCUAAGUAUUUUUGUAGGCUUGUCAACAAGAUAAACUUGCUCUUCAUGUGAGGUUCAUUUAGCAAAAUCAUGUCCAAGGAGAUUGAUUUAUCUUCACUCUGUGUAGUGUAGACAAUACACAUGCGAACAAUUUGAACACUGAUACUCCAAUUAUCUCGUUGAUCAUUAAGAUGUUCAAGAAAAGUAUAGUCCAUCUGAAAUUGUUUUGCAAAGUAUGUAUUUCAGAAAUGUGAGGUUUUUUGUUUUUGAUUUUCUAAUUUGGAUAUUGGUGAA
rnacentral:lncRNA from 1 species